UGAGCAGCUAGCGACCCAACACACAAAGUUUCUAUCUUCUUAUUUUCUAUACAAGUAGCAGCUGGCGCAGCGGUGGUGUUGAUGAAUGACACCCAAUGCAGAGGCGGCAGUUACCAUAGGGAAGAGGUCAAGAACAUCUAGCUCUUGUGGUGUUCCUCCUCAUUAUUGUCAUCGCCAUCAACAGCAACAAUGACGACCGGCUCAUGAGACAGCUACUAGAGAGGGAGCGAGGAAGGGGGAGACAGAUCUUUCAGGUACAAUGGAUCUCGGUCAAAAAUCACCUAAGGAAAAUAUGUUGUUCUUCUCUACAAGGGUUGCAUGUGGAAUUUGAGGAGAAUCUGUGCACCAGCAUCCGACUCCUUGAUGUUGCUCUGAUCAUAUUGUGUAAAUAUAUUUCUAAUAAAGCAAUCGCCCGAUGGUGUACAUGUUAUAAAUAACAAGAAUCAUCAAGUGUGAGAGAUGGCAACAUCAUGAUGGGAUGAUGGAUUGACAAGUACCAAAGAUUGAUGCCAAGCAGAACUAAAACCUAUCCAUGGAUUACCUUCAGUCCCGCAUUCCAAUCAACAACAUUGGGCUGAGUGAGCGCGCGGGUGGCGCAAGAGGCAAUGGGCAGCCGGUGGAGACUGAGUGGAGAGCGGCGGUGGCAAGGUCGAGAGGUUGGCACCAGCGGCGAGUAGGCAAUUACCGUGACGGGCGAGCGGACGGGGCUUCCAGCCAAAUCAAUCAGCCAAGGGCCAUUAUGUACGUGAGUGUGUUAGCUGUGGGUAUAUCUGAAGAUUAUUUCUCAACUCGGCAUGUGGGUAGAGACUAAAAAGACAAUGCCAUGGUAGCAUGGCAGACCUGGCAAGUGCUACGAACAUCAUGAUAUUCUUCCUUUUCUUAAUUCCUUGAUUUGAAAAAUAAUUUGCUCUGCAUGUAUAGGA